rnacentral:rRNA from 1 species
AUUGAACGCUGGCGGCAUGCCUUACACAUGCAAGUCGAACGGCAGCGGACCUUCGGGUGCCGGCGAGUGGCGAACGGGUGAGUAAUAUAUCGGAACGUACCUUUCAGUGGGGGAGUAACGUAGCGAAAGUUACGCUAAUACCGCAUAUUCUGUGAGCAGGAAAGCAGGGGAGUCGCAAGACCUUGCGCUGAUUGAGCGGCCGAUAUCAGAUUAGCUAGUUGGUGAGGUAAAGGCUCACCAAGGCGACGAUCUGUAGCGGGUCUGAGAGGAUGAUCCGCCACACUGGAACUGAGACACGGUCCAGACUCCUACGGGAGGCAGCAGUGGGGGAAUAUUGGACAAUGGGCGAAAGCCUGAUCCAGCCAUGCCGCGUGAGUGAUGAAGGCCUUAGGGUUGUAAAGCUCUUUCAGUGGGGAAGAUAAUGACGGUACCCACAGAAGAAGCCCCGGCUAACUUCGUGCCAGCAGCCGCGGUAAUGUC